AACGUGUGAGUUUGGUCAGGUAUUUCAGUCUCCCGUCAUCAUCAUCGCUCAGUCUCAACUCAAGCGUACGUGAGAUAAUGAAGUUCCACCACUCAACCUGGCCCACGUUUCAGGAAUAUAAUAUAAUAGCUACAAACUUGAUAUAUUUUUAAAACACAACAUAAUAAAGUGUUGUACACAACACGAACUCCUUUCUUCAAGACAGAACUCAACUCACCCACGGCACACACCCUGCUUGACUUUGACCUUCAGCCACCCACCUACCCAUGUCUUCUUCUGCCAGCGCGCUUCGCCGGAUUCUGGAGUCGCCAGGGAUUCACCAGAGCCCUGCUUGUUUCAAUGCUCUCAGUGCCAAGUUGAUCGAGAGAGCUGGCUUUGACUGCUGUCUUUCUGGUGGGUUUUCAAUAUCAGCUGCCAGACUGGGAAUGCCCGAUGCAGGGCUUAUAUCGUAUGGGGAAAUGUUAGAACAAGGGAGACUGAUUACCCAAGCUGUGUCCAUUCCUGUUAUUGGGGAUGCUGAUACUGGAUAUGGCAAUGCCAUGAAUGUUAAGAGAACUGUUAAGGAAUAUAUCAAAGCUGGUUUUGCUGGGAUUAUGCUUGAAGAUCAGGUAUCGCCAAAAGCUUGUGGACAUACGCAAGGCAGGAGAGUUGUGUCAAGAGAGGAAGCAGUGAUGCGGAUAAAAGCAGCUGUUGAUGCUCGAGAGGAGAGUGGUUCUGACAUUGUCAUUGUAGCGCGAACUGAUUCUCGCCAAGCCGUGUCUUUUGAAGAAGCGAUCUGGAGAACAAAAGCUUUUGCUGAUGCUGGAGCAGAUCUUCUUCUCAUUACGGCACUAACUUCAAAAGAAGAGAUGAAGGGUUUUUGUGAAUCCUCCCCCUUAGUUCCAAAACUGGCGAAUAUGCUCGAAGGAGGGGGCAAGACGCCAAUUCUCAGUCCUUCUGAACUUGCAGAUAUUGGAUAUAAAGUUGUGCUCUAUCCACUGUCUUUGCUUGGGGUUUCGAUUCGAGCAAUGCAGGAUGCUCUUACCUCUAUUAAAGGUGGGCAUAUUCCUCACAACAGCAUGCCAUCUUUUGAUGAGAUGAAGGAAAUACUUGGUUUCCACAAGUAUUAUGAAGAAGAGAAGAAGUAUUCUACCAGCACCAGCCAAUAAUAUGUCUUCACUGGUUGAACACACUGAAGGAAUUUCGAGCAUGGUCAGAGAGGUAAAAGAAAGGAAAAGCUUGGCCAGCCUUGAGUGGAGAGCUUGGGCGAUGUGAUGUACAUACAGGGCCGCUUGACCGCCACGGUCAAGGAGUUCUCAGAGGAACUAGGGGUUUACCCUAUUUUUGCCGCUUAGGCCGGCGGAGUUUGUAAAUUUGGAACUGUAGCGACUCUUUUGUAUUACGAACUACUUGUAAACAUUUUAAAAGGCUCAUGAGCAGUUUAUUUACUUAAUGAAAUGUACCCUUUCCUUUUUACUGGUUUUCUACCUUAACCUGAUAAUAACACUUAGAUCACGUUUUUAACCAAAGGACUCGGGUAGCGGGUCAAAUUUCCGAUUCACCGUUCUCCGUAACUGUUCUGGGGUAGCCAGGGCGUUAUAGGAUCGUUAUGGGGAGUCGUGCUUGCUUGCCAUUUUACCUUACGCUUGGACAUAAGGUAUUGGGAAAGGAAAGCUGGACCAACCAUGAGUUGGAGAGAUUCGGUGGCGACGUGUACAUAUGUGGCUGCUCAACCACCACUACUGGGGAUUCUCAAAGGAACUAGGUUCAAACCCUAUUUUGCCGCUGAGGUCGGCUGGUUGUAACUUUUGAAUUGUAAUUAUCCUUUUUAAUCGUUAUUUUGGGAUCCCAUGUAUGAACGUAAAUAUUUUAAUGAAAUGGUUAUACCUUUUGACCAAAAA